GCAUGAUAUUGAGAUACGGUUUGCUUAAAAUCGAUACUCAAUAGUUAAUUUGCACUCCUGAGCACUGUAGUGAUUACAAAAAUGUUGCUUUGUGUUUACUGUUGCUACUCGUAAGUCUAUUUGUUAUAGGUUACAUUACAGUCUGAGUUAGUAUAGAUGCUCCAAAUACAGUAAAACUAAAAAAUAUAGCGUAGGCGUAGCGAAAUAGCGAAAUAGUUCGCUACAUUUUUUAAGCAGUAGCUAUAGUCAGUAGCGAACUACCUUUGUUCAAAAGUAGCAGUAGUUGUAGCGGACUACAUAUUUUUGAAGUAGCUGUAGUUAUAGCGAACUACAAAAAUUUUGUAGUCAACCCACCCUUGUAUAUUCAAUA